CUACGGGCCGCUGCAGUCGAGAAUCUUCCGCAAUGGACGAAAGUCUGACGGAGCGACGCCGCGUGCGGGAUGAAGGCCUUCGGGUUGUAAACCGCUGUCAGUGGGGAGGAAAUGCAUCAGGGUUCUCCCUGGUGUUUGACCGAUCCGCAGAGGAAGCGCAGGCUAAGUUCGUGCCAGCAGCCGCGGUAACACGAACUGCGCGAACGUUAUUCGGAAUCACGGGGCUUAAAGAGUUCGUAGGCGGCCUUUCAAGUCGGGUGUGAAAUCCCUCGGCUCAACCGAGGAAUUGCGCCUGAUACUGUUGGGCUUGAGGGGGAUAGGGGUGAGCGGAACUGAUGGUGGAGCGGUGAAAUGCGUUGAUAUCAUCAGGAACACCGGUGGCGAAGGCGGCUCACUGGAUCUCUUCUGACGCUGAGGAACGAAAGCUAGGGGAGCGAACGGGAUUAGAUACCCCCGUAGUC
rnacentral:rRNA from 1 species